GACGAACGCUGGCGGCGUGCCUAAUACAUGCAAGUCGAACGCAGUGGGGACGGGAGAGUAACACGUGGGUAACCUCCCAUCAGAGGGGAUAACACUUGGAAACCGGUGCUAAACCGAUACUGAUAGAUGGACCCGCGGUGCAUUAGCUAGUUGGUGAGGUAACGGCUCACCAAGUCCACGAUGAAUAGCCGACCUGAGAGGGUGAUCGUCCACACUGGGACUGAGACACUGCCCAGACUCCUACGGGAGGCAGCAGUAGGGAAUCUUCGGCAAUGGACGAAAGUCUGAUCGAGCCACGCCGCGUGAAUGAAGAAGGUUUUCGGAUCGUAAAACUCUGUUGGUAGAGAAGCGUUAUCUAACCAGAAAGCCACGGCUAACUACGUGCCAGCAGCCGCGGUAAUAC
rnacentral:rRNA from 1 species